AGAGUUUGAUCAUGGCUCAGAACGAACGUUGGCGGCGUGGAUUAGGCAUGCAAGUCGAACGAAUCCCAGGGGGCUUGCUCUCUGGGGGAAGUGGCGAAAGGGGCAGUAAGGCGUGGCUAACCUACCUCGGGGACGGGGAUAGCCCUCCUAACGGAGGGGUAAUACCCGGCGAUUUGGCGAGAGGGCAUCUUCUUGCCAGGAAACGAAUUUCGCCUCGAGAGGGGGUCACGUGCUAUUAGCUUGUUGGCGGGGUAACGGCCCACCAAGGCAAAGAUGGCUAGCGGGUGUGAGAGCACGACCCGCGCCACUGGCACUGAGACACUGGCCAGACUCCUACGGGAGGCUGCAGUCGAGGAUCUUCGGCAAAGGGCGCAAGCCUGACCGAGCGACGCCGCGUGUGCGAUGAAGGCCUUCGGGUUGUAAAGCACUGUCGAGGGGGAGGAAAGCCCGCAAGGGUCUGACCUAUCCCUGGAGGAAGCACGGGCUAAGUUCGUGCCAGCAGCCGCGGUAAGACGAACCGUGCAAACGUUGUUCGGAUUCACUGGGCUUAAAGGGCGCGUAGGCGGCAAUCCAAGUCAGGGGUGAAAUCCUCCGGCUCAACCGGAGAACAGCUUUUGAUACUGGGUGGCUUGAGGGAGGUAGGGGCAGGUGGAACUUCCGGUGGAGCGGUGAAAUGCGUAGAUAUCGGAAGGAACGCCGGUGGCGAAAGCGACCUGCUGGACCUCUUCUGACGCUGAGGCGCGAAAGCCAGGGGAGCAAACGGGAUUAGAUACCCCGGUAGUCCUGGCCCUAAACGAU
rnacentral:rRNA from 1 species